CUAAGGCUCCAGAGGAAGCCACGGCUAACUCUGUGCCAGCAGCCGCGGUAAUACAGAGGCGGCAAGCGUUGUUCGGAAUUAUUGGGCGUAAAGAGCACGUAGGCGGCCUUGCAAGUCAGUUGUGAAAGCCUUCCGCUUAACGGAAGAAUGCCAGCUGAUACUACAGGGCUUGAGUACGGGAGGGGAGAGUGGAACUUCUGGUGGAGCGGUGAAAUGCGUAGAUAUCAGAAGGAACGCCGGCGGCGAAAGCGUCUCUCUGGCCCGAAACUGACGCUGAGUGUGCGAAAGCUAGGGGAGCAAACGGGAUUAGAUACCCCGGUAGUCCUAGCCGUAAA
rnacentral:rRNA from 1 species